UACAGAGGUGUCAAGCGUUGCUCGGUGUCACUGGGCUUAAAGGGCGCGUAGGCGGUGCAGCACGGUCCGGGUGAAAUCCCUCGGCCCAACCGAGGAAUUGCCCGGGCGACGGCUGCGCUGGACUGCAUCAGGGGCGGAUGGAACUCCCGGUGGAGCGGUGAAAUGCGUAGAUAUCGGGAGGAUCGCCGGUGGCGAAAGCGAUCCGCUGGGGUGCAUGUGACGCUGAGGCGCGAAAGCCAGGGGAGCAAACGGC
rnacentral:rRNA from 1 species